rnacentral:rRNA from 1 species
GUCUAUGGCCAUGCUACCCUGAACAAGCCCGAUCCCAUCUGAUCUCAGAAGCUAAGCAGGGUCAGGCUUGGUUAGUACUUGGAUAGGAGACCACCUAGGAAGACCAGAUGCUGCAGGCA